CCCUUAGAUGUUCUGGGCCGCACGCGCGCUACACUGAUGCAUUCAACGAGUCCAACCUUGACCGAGAGGUCCGGGUAAUCUUUGAAACUGCAUCGUGAUGGGGCUAGAUUAUUGCAAUUAUUAAUCUUCAACGAGGAAUGCCUAGUAAGCGUGAUUCAUCAAAUCGCGUUGAUUACGUCCCUGCCCUUUGUACACACCGCCCGUCGCUCCUACCGAUGAAUCGUCCGGUGAAGUUCAUGGAGUAGUGGUUGUUCCAUCCGCUGUCGAAGUGAAAUAAACCUCAUGAUUUAGAGGAAGGAGAAGUCGUAACA
rnacentral:rRNA from 1 species